AGGGGUGUAUUGGCCGCGCCUUCUAAGCGAUAGGUGCAUAAUUGGAUAGAUGUGGGUUCGAGUCCCACCUCCCCUACCA
rnacentral:tRNA from 2 species